rnacentral:rRNA from 1 species
AGCAGCCGCGGUAAUUCCAGCUCCAAUAGCGUAUAUUAAAGUUGUUGCAGUUAAAAAGCUCGUAGUUGAAUUUUGGGUUGGGCCGUUUGGUCCGUUCUUGUAACGAGUACUGGACGGUCUGGCCUCACCGCUUGGGGAUGCGUAAUGCCCUUUAUUGGGUGUUGCGAGCAGCCAAGACCUUUACCUUGAAAAAAUUAGAGUGUUUAAAGCAGGCUUAUGCCAGAAUACAUUAGCAUGGAAUAAUAGAAUAGGACAAUGAUUCUAUUUUGUUGGUUUCUAGGACCGUUGUAAUGAUUAAUAGGGAUAGUUGGGGGCAUUAGUAUUCAAUUGUCAGAGGUGAAAUUCUUGGAUUUAUUGAAGACUAACUACUGCGAAAG